CCUACGGGUGGCAGCAGUCGAGAAUCAUUCACAAUGGGGGAAACCCUGAUGGUGCGACGCCGCGUGGGGGAAUGAAGGUCUUCGGAUUGUAAACCCCUGUCAUGUGGGAGCAAAUUAAAAAGAUAGUACCACACGAGGAAGAGACGGCUGACUCUGUGCCAGCAGCCGCGGUAAUACAGAGGUCUCAAGCGUUGUUCGGAAUCACUGGGCGUAAAGCGUGCGUAGGCUGUUUCGUAAGUCGUGUGUGAAAGGCGCGGGCUCAACCCGCGGACGGCACAUGAUACUGCGAGACUAGAGUAAUGGAGGGGGAACCGGAAUUCUCGGUGUAGCAGUGAAAUGCGUAGAUAUCGAGAGGAACACUCGUGGCGAAGGCGGGUUCCUGGACAUUAACUGACGCUGAGGCACGAAGGCCAGGGGAGCGAAAGGGAUUAGAUACCCUAGUAGUC
rnacentral:rRNA from 1 species